AAAUUUUGCUGGGAAGUUCCAGUUUGGAUAAAGAAAACAUGCCGUCGUGUUCAGGAAGAAAAAGCGAAGGUCACACAAGUUAUCAUUGUCUGUUGUUAAGACCAUUUACUGUAUUAAAGGAACCAGGAUGAAAUAUUUGCCAUGAGGUUUUGUGGAACAGCUUUGUGCUCGGCUAUUACACAAGAUGCCUGAUAAGUAUUUAUUUAAGGCAAGUGAAGACAGUUGUAUGGGGUUUGGUCCUUGAGAAGAAAACAUGUUUCACGUCGAAGGAUGAGCGUAGUUUACCCAUAAUCAGUGGUUGUUGGUCCUGACUAUGAUCUGUUUUGAAGGAACCAGAUAAACUGCAAGUCUGAUGAAGCAUCCGUGCAUCGGGUCUCAAUAAACAAGGCAAGGAAGAAAAGGGCAAUUCCUGCUGGAUUUUUCUUUAUCAAAAGAGCAGAGUGGUGCAAGUCAAAGCUGGUUUUUCUUAUAAUAUUGCAAUUGGAGCUUGAUUCAGUUUUAUCAUAGUCCCUCUAUACAGACUGGGUAGGCAUGUAGGUUGCAUUUUGCAAGCAGCGUGUAUGAGAAACUGCUGAUUGAAUCUUAUUUAAAAGUUAGUUUUUACUGGGAGAUGUCUAGGUAAAUGUUAUUUUUUUGCUAUUCACUUCUCCCUCUAGCUACUGAAACUACUCCAGUAUGAACUUUGAUUGCAAUAUUUCCUUAAAACAGUUCAUCUGCUUUGCUUUCUCAGCUUUUUCAUCAUCCAAGAUAAUUGUAGAGGUACACAGAUGAACAACAUUACUUUUAAGGAACAGACGAGAACUUGUUAUGACUAAGAUGCAACAGCCUUGCCCUUACUUCUCAAUUGGGCUGGUCAGUAAUGUCUGAUCAAAUAAAUGUGGUAAGGUUAGAUCCACAGAGUUCCUUAUUAUAAGAAUCUCAGUUUCUUCGGGACUGGUCAGGAAAGAUAUCUCUGAGUAAAUGAAGUAACUUUUCUGCAUGACUCGGUCACCAGUUUCUAGCGGAUGCUGCUUGCAGCAAGAUGCAACAUACAUGCUAAAAUCUGCUUGUAUCUAGAGACUGAUAAUUUGGAAGGCAGGCUUCAGUAACAAUAUUGUGAAGAUAAGAGCUGUGACCGCUGUCAUUGUGUUCCGUUUGAAGAAGUCAACUCCUGCAUGAUUUGUCCUCUUCUUCCUGCCAUAACUUCAGCUGAAGAUGAGUUACCAGAUAAAGGAAACGAAUGAAGACACUUGUUAGCACCAUUGCUUUGAAGUUCUUGAAUUUCAAGGUGGUCAUCUAUCUGGACACAGGAAGUUCUAAGAAGAUAAAAAAUGAGGACAUUUUAUAAUGAAAUCA